GGUAAUUUUCUCUUCCAACUAAAUUAAGAUUCUACUCCUCUCUAUCAGAAUUUAGAUGUGUAGGUUCCCGAUGCUGGAGUGGAAGACGAUGCAGCAUCUCGAUUCACAACAUGUUGGCUGCAGCACAAAUCUGUUGCAGCCUCACGUUGCCCUGUUUUGUCGAUUUGGCCCUCAUUUUUUAAUCACGAGGCUCUUCGGGAGAGCAAGAGAGAAAUGGUUAAUGCUACCAGAGGGUUAAGUUGUAUGUUGAAGCUGGAUGUCUCAACACUGACGACGGCAUGCAAAAUAAUAUAACCAAGUUGAUGUAGAUUGGACUCUCCUGCUGUGCAAUAUCACCAAGGGAGCGGAAGCUUAUGAAUGUGGUUGUCGAAAACGAGUGCAAUUAGAGACUCGUACCUCAAGGUUUUAGAGGACUAAAGAAGGAUAAAGAUAUGCUGCUUGUGGUUUUUCUUUUCUUGUUUCUUUGCCUCUCUCUCUGUCUUCGCUUUGAACUUUGCCUCGUUUAUAUUAGUACAUGACUUAUAGCUUUCAAAUUAUUGUUUGUGUAGUGUGGAGCUAUUUGUAAAAAUCUUGCCAGAAAUUUCAACAUGGUCGAAGGAAAAGAGUGUUCCAAACCAUUUACAAAUGAACUCUAUCCACGAUGAAC